GAUGAAGAACGUAGCGAAAUGCGAUAAGUAAUGUGAAUUGCAGAAUUCAGUGAAUCAUCGAAUCUUUGAACGCACAUUGCGCCCGCCAGUAUUCUGGCGGGCAUGCCUGUCCGAGCGUCAUUUCAACCAUCAAGCCUCGUGCUUGUGUUGGGGACCUGCGUCCGACGCAGGCCCUGAAAACCAGUGGCGGGCUCGCUGUCCACACCGAGCGUAGUAACUAACCUCGCUAUGGAGUGGCGCGGGCGCCUGCCGUAAAACCCCCAAUUUCACAAGGUUGACCUCGGAUCAGGUAGGAAUACCCGCUGAACUUAAGCAUAUCAAUAAGCAGAGGA
rnacentral:misc_RNA from 1 species